GACGAACCGUGCGAACGUUGUUCGGAAUCACUGGGCUUAAAGGGCGCGUAGGCGGUCUGUCGCGUCGGAUGUGAAAAUCCAGGGCUCAACCCUGGACCUGCAUUCGAUACGGGCAGACUAGAGUUCGGUAGGGGAGACUGGAAUUCCUGGUGUAGCGGUGAAAUGCGCAGAUAUCAGGAGGAACACCGGUGGCGAAGGCGGGUCUCUGGGCCGAAACUGACGCUGAGGAGCGAAAGCGUGGGGAGCAAACAGG
rnacentral:rRNA from 1 species